CUGGCUCAGGAUGAACGCUAGCUACAGGCUUAACACAUGCAAGUCGAGGGGCAGCAUUAGAUUAGCUUGCUAAUUAGAUGGCGACCGGCGCACGGGUGAGUAACGCGUAUCCAACCUUCCCCCUGCUCAGGGAUAGCCCGGUGAAAACCGGAUUAAGACCUGAUAGUUUCACUAGAUGGCAUCUGACGGUGAAUAAAGGUUUCGGCAAGGGAUGGGGAUGCGUCUGAUUAGCUUGUUGGCGGGGUAACGGCCCACCAAGGCGACGAUCAGUAGGGGUUCUGAGAGGAAGGUCCCCCACAUUGGAACUGAGACACGGUCCAAACUCCUACGGGAGGCAGCAGUGAGGAAUAUUGGUCAAUGGGCGGAAGCCUGAACCAGCCAAGUAGCGUGCAGGAAGACGGCCCUAUGGGUUGUAAACUGCUUUUGUGCGGGAAUAAAGUCAGGGACGCGUCCCUGUUUGCAUGUACCGCAAGAAUAAGGACCGGCUAAUUCCGUGCCAGCCGCCGC
rnacentral:rRNA from 1 species